CUUGAGAAGGCGGUAGACUACUUAUU
rnacentral:sRNA from 1 species